AGACAUUGUCGAUGAUCGCAGAGACUUUGUCUAUAAUCUCAGAGACAUUGUCCACGAUCGCAGAGACGUCGUCCACGAUCACAGAAGACCAGGUGUCACCACUUCGUCCACGCCAUCGUCCACGAUCGCUGAGCCUUCGUCCACGAUUGGAGAGACAUUGUUGAGGAUGAGGGAGACAUCGUCCACAAUCAGAGACAUUGUCCAUGAUCGCAGAGACCUUGUCAAAGAUGAGAGAGACGUUGUCCAUGGUCAGAAACAUUGUCUCUGCUUCGCAGAGCUCUGCGCAAGAAUCGGUAGUGACACUGUGGUUCCUCGAUUCGACGGCAUGACCGCGAUCAGCUGACAUUGUUAAUGAUCACAGAGAAACAGUCUAUCAUCAGAGACUUGGUCCACGAUCACAGACACAUUGUCAAUGAUUGCAGAGACUUUGUCCAUAAUCUCAGAGACAUUGUCCGCGAUCACAGAGACGUAGUCCACGAUCACAGAAGACCGGGUGUCACCACUUCGUCCACGCCAUCGUCCACGAUCGCUGAGCCUUCGUCCACGAUCGGCGAGACAUUGUUGAGGAUGAGGGAGACAUCGUCCUCGAUCAGAGACAUUGUCCGUGACUCGUGGUGACUCGGUCCCCGAUAAGUCGGCAUUGCCGGCGUUCAUGGAGACAUUGUCGAUGAUCGCAGAGACUUUGUCUAUAAUCUCAGAGACAUUGUCCUCGAUCGCAGAGACGUUGUCCACGAUCGCAGAGAGUCUUCGUACAGUGAAGUUCUUUGAGACCAGGACAGAGGCCUCCAGGUGUCACAACAUCGUCCACGAUCGCUGAGACGACGUCCACGAUCGGAGAGACAUUGUUGAGGAUGAGGGAGACAUCGUCCUCGAUCAGAGACAUUGUCCGUGACUCGUGGUGACUCGGUCCCCGAUUAGUCGGCAUUGCCGGCGUUCAUGGAGACAUUGUCGAUGAUCGCAGAGACUUUGUCUAUAAUCUCAGAGACAUUGUCCACGAUCGCAGAGACGUCGUCCACGAUCACAGAAGACCAGGUGUCACCACUUCGUCCACGCCAUCGUCCACGAUCGCUGAGCCUUCGUCCACGAUUGGAGAGACAUUGUUGAGGAUGAGGGAGACAUCGUCCACAAUCAGAGACAUUGUCCAUGAUCGCAGAGACCUUGUCAAAGAUGAGAGAGACGUUGUCCAUGGUCAGAAACAUUGUCUCUGCUUCGCAGAGCUCUGCGCAAGAAUCGGUAGUGACACUGUGGUUCCUCGAUUCGACGGCAUGACCGCGAUCAGCUGACAUUGUUAAUGAUCACAGAGAAACAGUCUAUCAUCAGAGACUUGGUCCACGAUCACAGACACAUUGUCAAUGAUUGCAGAGACUUUGUCCAUAAUCUCAGAGACAUUGUCCGCGAUCACAGAGACGUAGUCCACGAUC